UACGUAGGUGGCGAGCGUUAUCCGGAAUGAUUGGGCGUAAAGGGUGCGUAGGCGGCCUGCUAAGUCUGGAGUGAAAGGUACCGGCUCAACCGGUACAGGCUCUGGAAACUGGCGGGCUAGAGAGCAGGAGAGGUAAGCGGAAUUCCUGGUGUAGCGGUGAAAUGCGUAGAUAUCAGGAGGAACACCGGCGGCGAAGGCGGCUUACUGGACUGUAACUGACGUUGAGGCUCGAAGGCGUGGGGAGCAAACAGG
rnacentral:rRNA from 1 species